UGCUGGAGGUAUCAGAAGUGCGAAUGCUGACAUAAGUAACGAUAAAGCGGGUGAAAAGCCCGCUCGCCGGAAGACCAAGGGUUCCUGUCCAACGUUAAUCGGGGCAGGGUGAGUCGACCCCUAAGGCGAGGCCGAAAGGCGUAGUCGAUGGGAAACAGGUUAAUAUUCCUGUACUUGGUGUUACUGCGAAGGGGGGACGGAGAAGGCUAUGUUAGCCGGGCGACGGUUGUCCCGGUUUAAGCAUGUAGGCGGAGGUUCCAGGUAAAUCCGGUACCUUUUAACGCUGAGGUGUGAUGACGAGGCACUACGGUGCUGAAGUAACAAAUGCCCUGCUUCCAGGAAAAGCCUCUAAGCAUCAGGUAACAUUAAAUCGUACCCCAAACCGACACAGGUGGUCAGGUAGAGAAUACCAAGGCGCUUGAGAGAACUCGGGUGAAGGAACUAGGCAAAAUGGUGCCGUAACUUCGGGAGAAGGCACGCUGGUGUGUAGGUGAAGUCCCUGCGGAUGGAGCUGAGACCAGUCGAAGAUACCAGCUGGCUGCAACUGUUUAUUAAAAACACAGCACUGUGCAAACACGAAAGUGGACGUAUACGGUGUGACGCCUGCCCGGUGCCGGAAGGUUAAUUGAUGGGGUUAUCCGUAAGGAGAAGCUCUUGAUCGAAGCCCCGGUAAACGGCGGCCGUAACUAUAACGGUCCUAAGGUAGCGAAAUUCCUUGUCGGGUAAGUUCCGACCUGCACGAAUGGCGUAAUGAUGGCCAGGCUGUCUCCACCCGAGACUCAGUGAAAUUGAACUCGCUGUGAAGAUGCAGUGUACCCGCGGCAAGACGGAAAGACCCCGUGAACCUUUACUAUAGCUUGACACUGAACAUUGAGCCUUGAUGUGUAGGAUAGGUGGGAGGCUUUGAAGCGUGGACGCCAGUCUGCGUGGAGCCAACCUUGAAAUACCACCCUUUAAUGUUUGAUGUUCUAACGUAGGCCCCUGACCGGGGUUGCGGACAGUGUCUGGUGGGUAGUUUGACUGGGGCGGUCUCCUCCCAAAGAGUAACGGAGGAGCACGAAGGUUAGCUAAUCCUGGUCGGACAUCAGGAGGUUAGUGCAAUGGCAUAAGCUAGCUUGACUGCGAGCGUGACGGCGCGAGCAGGUGCGAAAGCAGGUCAUAGUGAUCCGGUGGUUCUGAAUGGAAGGGCCAUCGCUCAACGGAUAAAAGGUACUCCGGGGAUAACAGGCUGAUACCGCCCAAGAGUUCAUAUCGACGGCGGUGUUUGGCACCUCGAUGUCGGCUCAUCACAUCCUGGGGCUGAAGUAGGUCCCAAGGGUAUGGCUGUUCGCCAUUUAAAGUGGUACGCGAGCUGGGUUUAGAACGUCGUGAGACAGUUCGGUCCCUAUCUGCCGUGGGCGCUGGAGAAUUGAGGGGGGCUGCUCCUAGUACGAGAGGACCGGAGUGGACGCAUCACUGGUGUUCGGGUUGUCAUGCCAAUGGCACUGCCCGGUAGCUAAAUGCGGAAGAGAUAAGUGCUGAAAGCAUCUAAGCACGAAACUUGCCCCGAGAUGAGUUCUCCCUGAGACUUUAAGUCUCCUGAAGGAACGUUGAAGACGACGACGUUGAUAGGCCGGGUGUGUAAGCGCAGCGAUGCGUUGAGCUAACCGGUACUAAUGAACCGUGAGGCUUAACCUU
rnacentral:rRNA from 1 species